CUUGCUCGCCGGCGCCGGCUCCGCCCUCCGCGCCCCGCCCCCUCCUCCGAGGUCCCGGAGCCGCGGCCGGCCGGGCGCCGCAGGUUGGGGAGCGCGCCUGGAGAAUGAUUGUCGCAGCACCGGACGGACUGCUGAGCUAUCGAAUUGUCUCCAUCUUUUGACCACCCUAGGGGAAUGGAGUUGAAAUAUUGAUUGCGGUAGUUUGCCGGCCUUACGUAAUUGAGGUUGAUCGCGUUUGGGAACUUGAUGCAUAAAAUUUGCAUGAUUCCUCACUCCUUUCUGGAUCUGUCGUUGGACUCCAGCCAGCAUGGCUCACGCCACAAAGGUUAACGGCUGUGCCUCAGGAAAAACAGAUGAUGUUCUGAACGGAGAUCCUGACAAGGAACAGAAAGAUCCUUACUUUGUGGAGACCCCCUAUGGUUAUCAGCUGGACUUAGACUUCCUCAAGUACGUGGACGACAUACAGAAAGGAAACACCAUCAAGAAACUCAACAUCCAGAAGAGGCGAAAGCCGUCGGUGCCAUGCCCGGAAAGCAGGGCCGUGCCCGGUCAGCAGGCUGUGUGGACUUCCACGGAAUCCCUCUCGUCCUCCAACAGUGAUGACAACAGGCAGUGUCCUCACUUCCUGGUAGCCAGAAGCCACGUUACGUCGACUCCCAUCCCAAGGCCCCCUGCCCCUCUGGAGACCUCACCCCCUUUCCUUACCGUCCCAGAAAGUCGACAGCUGCCACCGCCCUCCCCUCAACUCCCAAAGCACAACCUUCAUGUCACCAAGACGCUGAUGGAGACCCGGAGGAGACUGGAACAGGAGAGAGUCACCAUGCAGGUGGCCCCGGGUGAGUUCCGCAGGCCCAGGCUGGCCAGUUUUGGAGGCAUGGGCUCCACGAGCUCGCUCUCCUCCUUCAUGGGUUCCGGAAACCACAAUCCUGCCGCGCACCAACUUCAGAAUGGAUACCAAGGCAACGGCGAGUACAGCGGCUGUGCCCCAGCCGUGGCCACCACGUCGUCCAUGGGGAGCUCCAUCCGCCACAGCCCCCUGAGCUCAGGGAUCUCCACGCCAGUGACCAACGUGAGCCCCAUGCACCUGCAGCACAUCCGCGAGCAGAUGGCCAUUGCCCUGAAGCGCCUGAAGGAGCUCGAGGAGCAGGUGCGAACCAUCCCCGUGCUCCAGGUGAAGAUCUCCGUCUUGCAAGAGGAGAAAAGACAGUUGGCCUCGCAGCUGAAACACCAGAGAGCGACAGCCCAGGCCGACGCGUGCGGUGUGAGGAAGCGGUCCUACAGUGCGGGGAACGCGUCGCAGCUGGAGCGGCUCUCCGGGGCCCGGCGCAGUAGCGGCGGAGGUGAACUGUACAUCGACUACGAGGAGGACGAGAUGGAACGCGUGGAACAGAGCGCGCAGAGCAUCAGGGAGUUCCGGCAGCUCGCGGCAGACAUGCAGGCCCUGGAGCGGAAGAUCCAGGACAGCAGCUGCGAGGCCUCCUCGGGGCCCCGGGGGGACGGGGAGUGCCGGUCCGUGGCUGUGGGUGCCGACGAGACCAUGGACCGCGUGGUCGUGUACCGCAGGGGCUCCGCGUCCCGGAAGGAUGCCGCCGUCGGGACGGCCACCGAGUCAAGGAACUGUGGGGUCGGCGUGACAGAGGCCAUGCUUGGCGUGACCACGGAAGCGGACAAGGAAAUAGAGCUGCAGCAGCAGACCAUAGAGGCCUUGAAGGAGAAGAUCUACCGCCUGGAAGUGCAACUGAAAGAAACCACCCAUGACCGCGAGAUGACUAGACUCAAGCAAGAGCUGCAGGCCGCGGGGUCGAGGAAGAAGGCGGACAAAGCCGUGACGGCCCAGCCGCUGGUUCUCAGCAAGAUGGUGGAGGCGGUGGUGGCCACCAGAGACCAGACGGCUGGCCAUCACGUGGACCUGGCGGAUGCCUGUGUCGGGAGCGCCGUGCAGAUGCACAGCCUGGGCGUCUCCUGCCGGCCCCGUUGUGAGAGCAGGCUCGUGGGGCCCGAGCUGCCCAUGAAUUGGUGGAUUGUCAAGGAGAGGGUGGAAACGCACGAGCAGGGUACUGGGAGGUCCGUGGAGACGUGCGACAAGAGCGUGGGUGUGGAAAUCAGCGUCUGCGAAACGGGCAGCAACACGGAGGAGUCCGUGCACGACCUGUCGCUCCUCAAGACCAACCUGAAUCUCAAAGAAGUGCGAUCCGUCGGCUGCGGGGAUUGUUCCGUUGACGUGACUGUCUGCCCCCCGAAGGAGCUCACGUCCCGGAGCGUGAACACAGAGGCCGCUGGCCUGGUGGAGGCUGCUGUCAUGGUGGUGCCUCGUACCGCGAGCCAGCACACCAGUACGGUUUGGGAGCAGGUGGACCGGGGCACCAACACCAAGGUGGUUACCCUUGCAGAAUCCUGCACCAGCACUUCCCUCAGCACUUUGGACAAGCAGACCAGCACUCAGACCGUGGAGAUGCGGACGGUGGCCGUAGGAGAAGGCCGCGUGAAGGAUGUCAAUUCCUCCACCAACACACGGUCCAUCGGAGUUGGAACCGUGCUCUCUGGCACUUCUGGGUUUGACAGGCCGUCGGCCGUGAAGACCAGAGAGUCAGGCGUGGGGCAGAUAAAUAUUAAUGACAAUUACCUGGUUGGUCUCAAAAUGAGGACCAUCGCCUGUGGCCCUCCGCAGUUGACUCUGGGGCUGGCAGCCAGCAGGAGGAGCGUCGGCGUAGGAGAUGGGCCUGUUGGCGAGUUCGCGGAGAGCCCCCUGCCCCAGGCUCCUGCCGGAAUGGUGACCGGCUUGGAUCACUACAUUGAGCGUGUCCAGAAGUUGCUGGCUGAGCAGCAGACACUGCUGGCUGAGAACUACAGCGAACUGGCAGAGGCUUUUGGGGAGCCUCACUCGCAGAUCGGCUCUCUGAACUCGCAGCUCAUUAGCACCCUGUCCUCGAUCAACUCAGUCAUGAAGUCCGCAAGUACAGAGGAGCUGAGGAACCCUGACUUCCCAAGAAUGAGUCUGGGUAAAGUCACAGGCAGUAGUCUGGAAUACCCCUGUAAGUGCGGAGGCCUUCAGUCAGGAGGACCGUUCAACAGCCAGACAUCCCGGCAUGAGCAAGAAGCCGGGACCACGGAAGGGAGACCCCUCGGCGGCCAGGACGCCUUCCCCUCUCAGGAAAGCACGCUGUCUCCCGUGAACCUGACCGACGACCAGAUAGCCGCCGGCCUCUAUGUAUGUACCAACAGUGAAAGCACGCUGAAGUCGAUCAUGAAGAAGAAGGAUGGCAGCAGAGAUUCAAAUGGAGCAAAGAAGAAUCUGCAGUUUGUUGGCAUUAACGGAGGGUAUGAAACAACUUCAAGUGAUGAUUCCAGCUCAGAUGAAAGCUCUUCCUCCGAGUCAGAUGACGAGUGUGACGUCAUUGAGUAUCCUCCUGAGGAAGAGGAGGAGGAAGAGGAGGACGAAGACACUCGGGGAAUGGCAGAAGGGCACCAUGCAGUUAACAUGGAAGGUUUCAAGUCCGCCAGGGUGGAAGAUGAAAUGCAGGUUCCAGAAUGUGAACCUGAGAAGGUGGAAAUCAGAGAGAGGUAUGAAUUAAGUGAAAAGAUGUUAUCUGCAUGCAACUUACUGAAAAAUAACAUAAAUGACCCCAAAGCUUUGACCAGCAAGGACAUGCGGUCCUGUCUGAACACCCUGCAGCACGAGUGGUUCCGCGUAUCCAGUCAGAAGUCGGCCUGCCCGGCCAUGGUGGGGGACUACAUAGCUGCUUUUGAGGCCGUUUCCCCGGACGUCCUGCGCCACAUCAUCAACAUGGCGGAUGGCAACGGCAACACGGCCCUCCAUUACAGCGUGUCACAUUCCAAUUUCGAGAUCGUGAAGCUGCUCUUGGACGCCGACGUGUGUAACGUGGACCACCAGAACAAGGCGGGAUACACCCCCAUCAUGCUGGCAGCCCUUGCCGCGGUGGAAGCAGAGAAGGACAUGCGUGUCGUGGAAGAGCUCUUCGGCUGCGGGGACGUCAAUGCCAAAGCCAGCCAGGCGGGACAGACAGCCCUCAUGCUGGCGGUCAGUCACGGGCGGAUCGACAUGGUGAAGGGCCUGCUGGCCUGCGGGGCCGACGUCAACAUCCAGGACGACGAGGGCUCCACCGCCCUCAUGUGUGCCAGUGAGCACGGGCACGUGGAGAUCGUCAAGCUGCUGCUGGCCCAGCCGGGCUGCAACGGCCACCUGGAAGACAACGACGGCAGCACGGCACUCUCGAUAGCCCUGGAGGCGGGACACAAGGACAUCGCCGUUCUCCUGUACGCCCAUGUCAACUUCGCGAAGGCCCAGUCUCCGGGUACCCCCAGGCUUGGAAGGAAGACAUCUCCUGGCCCCACCCACCGGAGUUCAUUUGACUGAUUAUAUGCAAAUAGCCGUCCAUUUACAUGCCACCACUAAGCUGCUAAUUGUUCCUCUUGGGGUGACAGAUACUGAAUGUAUGCGUGCUGUGCCUGAGCUCACCAGCAAACAGAACGGCAGUGGCAGCAAAAGCUGAUGGAUUGUGCCGGCAGGGACUGCUGGCCCCCUGGUCUUGCACUUGGACGAGACGAGACACCUUCUGAGAGCACUGCGUUUGCAUGGCUCUGCCCGUUACUCAGGUUGCACGUCGGGAGUCGGAAAUUUAAGGCCUUACUAGGCACACAGCUCAUCAGACAGGUAACUUCCGAGCGGAGGCGACGAGUUAGCUCUUGUCAGGCCUCUGGUCCUGGUUUCGGGUACAGCUGCUGGGUGACUGCACCUGCCUUGCAGCCUUUUCUACAAAGUGAAGGGGAUCCAGUCUAUCUCGUUUCAAUGAAGAAGCGUGGCCACCACAAUGCAAAUGAGGUGCUUGGGCCCGGUUGCCAGUGGUGAAUUUUAACCCAGGCCAUUUAUGAGAGUCAGGGUGUACCGGAGAAUCAUCACGGGUUCUUGCACGUUUCUUUCCCUUCUUCCGCUUUCCUUCUUCUCCUCUGCUCAUUCAUUGCUGGGCUUGAGAAAGAGACCAGAGAACAGAUUUUCCCAGCAGGUGUGCACCACGAUGCCUGUCCUAGAAAGCCUGUUGUUUCACAGGCUUAGAGGUGUGGUUGUUUAGAGAACAACUCAGAGGAGCUCUGAAAAGUAGCACUGGGAAUUGAGGCCAACUUGGGGCCAUAUGUGAUGGCCCCCAAGUCCCACGCCGGGACAUCUAGGGCAGAAGGACUGUCCUCUUCCACGAACCGUGAAAGUGAAGUCACAGCUGCCUGGGGACGCGAACAUCUUUGUCCAUCCCAGGGUAGAUCUGCCAGCUCAGGGAUUGGCACUAAAUUUCAGUUCGCAUAGUUAUUCAAGCUCCUUCAGACCUGAAAGAGCACAAUAAAUUAAAGCAGAAGGUUGUGUGUGUGAAGAAAAGUGGCGCUGUGAGUUCGGUACCCUUUAAUGGCAUGACGUGCCUUUUGAGCAGGGAGGGCUGCGUCUCUGCUGGUUUGUGGUCCUGGGAGUUUUGUUCUGUUUGACAAGAGAAGUCAUUAAUAAUGUCAGUGCAUGAGAAAACAAAUUCCUACGUCUGUGCUUCAUUGCAGAUUUCUUAUGCUAAAUUUUGCAAAAGAAAAUGAGUGAGUGUUUUAUCAUGGAGUGUGGUCUCAAUACAGAAAGAAUCUAGCUGCCGGGAGCUCUGCUUUGUGCCUUGUUUGCUAACACUGGGCACUUACAAGGCUUUUUAUCUUGGGAUCUUGGCACAUUAUAUAAACCAGCCUGAUUGUCCCCCAUUGGUGUAGCUGCAGUUUCUUGAGCCACAAGGCUAUAAAGGAAUGUGUGACAGGACACUGGGGCAGGUUCCCCCACAGGAGGCCGGCCUAGGGCUGGAGACUCCCAAUCUUGUUUUCUGGCAGAUGUGACGAGAAGCCUAAACCUGUAAGUGACAGCCUCUGUUUUCUUACCCUGGAAAAUUAGAAGCUGAAGACACCCCUAGACAAAAGGGUAGAUCAGUGGGAACUUUGAGACUUUAACAUUAAGAAACAAAGAGACGCCUGGGUGGUUCAGUCAGUUGAGCGUCUGACUGUGGCUAAGGUCA